rnacentral:rRNA from 1 species
UACGUAGGGUGCAAGCGUUAAUCGGAACUACUGGGCGUAAAGCGUGCGCAGGCGGUUUUGUAAGCCAGAUGUGAAAGCCCCGGGCUUAACCUGGGAAUGGCAUUUGGGACUGCAAGGCUUGAGUGCGGCAGAGGAGACUGGAAUUCCUGGUGUAGCAGUGAAAUGCGUAGAUAUCAGGAGGAAUACCGAUGGCGAAGGCAGGUCUCUGGGCUGACACUGACGCUCAUGCACGAAAGCGUGGGGAGCAAACAGG